AAUGGUGGCAGUUUGUGACACAACUGAAGGCUCCUCUAAGGGACAGCUCUCCGCGAUUCCACCGCGUGCCGGCUUUGGAGGCGUUUGCUGGCGUGGUGAGGCUCAGCUUCCCCCUCUGUUUCCCAGGCUCCAGAGACUAAUCCUUCCUUUGGCUGGCUCUGCUGCUGCUAUGGCAAUAUUUUCUCCCCCAUCGUGGUAAUCACGCAAUGGUCUCUGAGAACAGCAGGAGAAGCUGUGCCUGGUAGAUGCAUAAAAGAGCUCCCUCUGCUUCAAAGGCCGUAAGAGCCUGUGACUCCACCAACCUUUUAAAUGGAAAAGGGAAUCCCCGUGGAAGCAGUCGUGAGGCAGGGCAGGGCUGUGUGAGGAGGGAUGAAGGACACGGAUGCUCAGAAGGCUCCAGAUCAGGGCAGUUAUUUUCCAGCCCUAGAAGAUGCCUGUUCCUCAGUGCACACCAGGAAGGGAUGCUUUGCCGCUGGGAGGGAGGGAGGGAGCUGCAGGAUUUGCUUGUUUCUGUGUGGACAUGGCAAGCAGCAGCACAGAGGUGGGUACCACGUAUAGCACAGCCAAGCCCCAGCACUGGGACUCCUCCUCCUCUGCUAAAUGAUUGCAGUUACCAAAGACUGACAAGUGCCAUUAAAAUUUAUUAG
rnacentral:lncRNA from 1 species